rnacentral:rRNA from 1 species
AGAUUGAACGCUGGCGGCAGGCUUAACACAUGCAAGUCGAGCGGAAACGAUGGGAGCUUGCUCCCAGGCGUCGAGCGGCGGACGGGUGAGUAAUGCUUAGGAAUCUGCCCAGUAGUGGGGGAUAGCCCGGGGAAACCCGGAUUAAUACCGCAUACGCCCUUUUGGGGGAAAGCAGGGGAUCUUCGGACCUUGCGCUAUUGGAUGAGCCUAAGUCGGAUUAGCUAGUUGGUGAGGUAAUGGCCCACCAAGGCGACGAUCCGUAGCUGGUCUGAGAGGAUGAUCAGCCACAUCGGGACUGACGACACCGGCCCGAACU